GAUGAACGCUGGCGGCGUGCUUAAUACAUGCAAGUCGAGCGAAGCGCUUUAACGGAAUUCUCCGGAAGGAAGGUAAAGUGACUGAGCGGGCGAGGGUGAAGGUAACGCGUAGGUUAACCCGCCUCACACUGGGGGAUAACAGUCAGAAAUGGCUGCUAAUACCGCAUAAGCGCACAGCAUCGCAUGAUGCAGUGUGAAAAACUCCGGUGGUGUGAGAUGGACCCGCGUUGAAUUAGCUAGUUGGCAGGGCAGCGGCCUACCAAGGCGACGAUCCAUAGCCGGCCUGAGAGGGUGAACGGCCACAUUGGGACUGAGACACGGCCCAA
rnacentral:rRNA from 1 species